rnacentral:rRNA from 1 species
UGGGGAAUUUUGGACAAUGGGCGCAAGCCUGAUCCAGCCAUGCCGCGUGCGGGAAGAAGGCCUUCGGGUUGUAAACCGCUUUGUCAGGGAAGAAAUCUUCUGAGUUAAUACCUCGGGAGGAUGACGGUACCUGAAGAAUAAGCACCGGCUAACUACGUGCCAGCAGCCGCGGUAAUACGUAGGGUGCAAGCGUUAAUCGGAAUACUGGGCGUAAAGCGUGCGCAGGCGGUUUUGUAAGACAGAGGUGAAAUCCCCGGGCUCAACCUGGGAACUGCCUUUGUGACUGCAAGGCUUGAGUGCGGCAGAGGGGGGAUGGAAUUCCGCGUGUAGCAGUGAAAUGCGUAGAUAUGCGGAGGAACACCGAUGGCGAAGGCAAUCCCCUGGGCCUGCACUGACGCUCAUGCACGAAAGCGUGGGGAGCAAACAGGAUUAGAUACCCUGGUAGUCCACGCCCUAAAACCGAUGUCAACUGGUUGUUGGGAAGGUUCCUUCUCAGUAACGUAGCUAACGCGUGAAGUUGACCGCCUGGGGAGUACGGCCGCAAGGUUG